UUUUUCUGAUCUUUUGUGACAUGCAGUGUGUUUUGUCUAUGCAUGGAUGACAUCCCACCACCUUUUGAGAACAGCCUUCUGGCCUAUUUGAGAGGCUUAACCCAUGUCUCCUUUAAUCCUCACACUAGCUGUGCGAUGUGAAUGGCCAGGCAGCGUUUGUCCAGUUGCUUACCAAGGCCUCACCACAAGCUGUUGGCAGAGAUGACAAGCCUACUGUCAGUUACCAGUGAGCCAUCUGGUAGGGGAGCUCUGGCACGUAUUUCCAAGGGUCGUCUUCAUCUUUUCUAAGUUGUUAGCGAUGACAGCCAUGAAAAUAAUAGUAACCAAAAAUCUUUUGCCAUUUCUUUAAGCCUGAACGUGGCUUUCAUAUUUAUCCUGCUGUCUAUAUAUUAAAGGGAACCUUUUGUGUAUGUCAGGAAAGUCAUUUAAAACAGAUCAGGUCAGACCAGCUCCCCAACUUAAGACAUUAUUGAGUUCACUUCCUCAUUUUACAUGUAAGGAAACUGACCUACUAAGUUGCUGAUGCUGGCAGACUGUGCAUGGUUUACUGGUUUUCAUAUUGCUGUGAAUAAAAUGUGCAGUUUUUGUCAUCACCUUUCACAUGAACAUUGUGCAGGGAUCCAUGUGGAUUCUUUUUUUAAUAACUGCAGCCCCCACCCUUAAAGAUUUCAUACAGCAAAGACACAGGCAAAUAUU